GGUUGUGUAGUGUAGCGGUUAUCACUCCAGAUUCUGAUUUGUGAAUUCUGGCAACCCCGGUUCGAUUCCGGGCACGACCU